rnacentral:rRNA from 1 species
GAUCCUGGCUCAGAUUGAACGCUGGCGGCAGGCCUAACACAUGCAAGUCGAGCGGAUGAGUGGAGCUUGCUCCAUGAUUCAGCGGCGGACGGGUGAGUAAUGCCUAGGAAUCUGCCUGGUAGUGGGGGACAACGUUUCGAAAGGAACGCUAAUACCGCAUACGUCCUACGGGAGAAAGUGGGGGAUCUUCGGACCUCACGCUAUCAGAUGAGCCUAGGUCGGAUUAGCUAGUUGG